rnacentral:sRNA from 1 species
UUUUUUUUUGAUUUUUUUUUUUUUAGUUUUUA